rnacentral:rRNA from 1 species
CUGGCGGCGUGCCUAAUACAUGCAAGUCGAACGGUCUUUCUAUGGAAGCUUGCUUCACUGAGAAGAUAGUGGCGAACGGGUGAGUAACACGUGGGUAACCUGCCCAUAAGAGGGGGAUAACAUCCGGAAACGGGUGCUAAUACCGCAUAGUUUUCUUGAUCGCAUGAUCGGGAAAGGAAAGACGGCCUUUGUGCUGUCGCUUAUGGAUGGACCCGCGGCGUAUUAGUUAGUUGGUGAGGUAACGGCUCACCAAGACGAUGAUACGUAGCCGACCUGAGAGGUGAUCGGCCACAUUGGGACUGAGACACGGCCCAAACUCCUACGGGAGGCAGCAGUAGGGAAUCUUCCGCAAUGGACGAAAGUCUGACGGAGCAACGCCGCGUGAGUGAAGAAAGGUUUUCGGAUCGUAAAACUCUGUUGUCAGAGAAGAACAAGUUGGAGAGUAACUGCUCCAGCCUUGACGGUAUCUGACCAGAAAGCCACGGCUAACUACGUGCCAGCAGCGGC